rnacentral:misc_RNA from 1 species
CUUUCAAAUCCUAAGUGUGGGACGUUGGAUUAUUGUUUGGAAGACCUCCUUUCUGUGGUAGAGAAUGAUAUUCUUGGAGAUGUUGCUGAGGAGAAAGAAGUAGAAAAAAUUGCUUCUAAAAUGAAAGAAACUAGGAAGCUGAAGUCCUUUGAAACCUUGAAAAUAAUUUCCCAAAGCAUAACAUUCAAAACCCAUGGCUUGAAAUUACUUUCACCAGUUAAAGCUCGCCUGCAGAAGCAUCUAACACCCAAAGUGAAAACCAAAUUGGAA